AAGAACAACCUUGUGAAGGCUGAGAGAAGGACUGGCUCAAGGUCACUCACUGGGCUUUCAUGGUUGAGAUGGGACUCGUAGUUAAGGCAACAAUGAAAAGGAAGUAGACAACAGAAGCCUUGAGCUGAAAGGGACCUUGUCAGCAACAAGGAAGAAAUGGUCGUAC